GGCGGUUUGAGUGGCGGCGGCGGGUUUUGGUUACCAGCGAGAUGCAGCAGCAGCGAGAGCAAACACGUCCCUGUAAAAUGGGGCUCAGCAAGGGGAAAGUGGUGUUGGACAGAAGCUCAUCAAUCAGCAGUGAUCUGGAGAGAUGCUCUAUACACACUGGCACUGAGGAGGAUCGCAGGAAUAGCUCUCAGAGCAAAGUCACUGUGGAGAAACUAGAAAGGGAAAACGCUAAGCUGAAAAUGCAGUAUGAAGAGCUGAAGCGCCAGUAUGUGCAGCUCCUGGAGGAGGCGAAGGAGGAGAAGUUUGAGGAAAGGAGAGUCAACCUGCUCAAAGCUCAGGUUAUGCAGCUGGAAAGACAGGUGAUUUUGCUGUCUGAAGGUCUGAGCUCGCAGCUGUGCUGCAGUCAGGAUGUAGAGAAGGCUCUUGAUCCUCUAACACACAGAUUAAGAUCACUGCUGAGCUCUGGAGGUGCUGAUGAGGUGAUCAUAGCUUGGUCUGAGCUCACCCAGCUCGUGGAAAGGUGUGAAGAUGUGAAGCAGAAGCUCCACAGGAAAAUUAAGCAGAAUUCACUCUCUCAAGUGUUGGUGUUGAAGAAGUGCGCUCUUUGAUAAGGAGCUGACCCUGGUGGCCGCUGGCCAUCUGGAUGGAUAGCUGGAUGGAUACUGAGCAUCUGCAGAAGCCCUUUGUGAAGAGAGGGAGAAAGAGAGAGGGAGAGAGAGAGGGAGAGAGAAAGAGAGAGAGAGAGCUCGGGUUUGAGCUAAGCAGAUUCUAGUCUGUGCUGCUGCUCAGAGCCCGUGGCCGACACAUGGAUCACAGUAAUUACGGGGCAGGCCGGGGCCGGUUAUUAGUUUAAGGAAUGUCAGGGGCGUAUAUCAAACCCAAUUUGCUCCGGAGCUUGAGAGGUCACUCAUCUUCCUCUGACUCGCUGCCUCUCUGGCCGGAGCGGGGCGGAUGGCCUUCUCUGAGAGCACACAAAGAAGAAAGAUAAGAUUGGGUUCUGCUCCUGUGUGUUCUUUGAAGUAGCGUUCAGGAAGUGUUCACGGUGCUACGGUUGUUUGUACAAAUCGGGAUUGUUUGUAUUGUUUGUUCUCCAGAUAUGGAACAUCGCUAUCAAAGAGAGAUCAUUUUUUUGGGUUUUGGAGAGAUGAGUAUGCUGGUCAUGUGUUUAUUUGUAGAAAUGGUUGUGAAGAUUGAGACAAAUCUCGUUAAAUAUCAUUUCACCCUUCAGUUUCACACUUGCAAGGCUCGACAUGGCUAGCGUUAAUGGUGAGCUUAUGACUGGAUUCUAAUAGAUCUGGACAGAAGCCUUUGAUGCAAGCCUUUGAAUUGCUUAUUAAUAAAGCAGUCCGUGCUUCAAAUGGUCA
rnacentral:lncRNA from 1 species